rnacentral:rRNA from 1 species
GGGGAAUAUUGCACAAUGGGGGAAACCCUGAUGCAGCGACGCCGCGUGCAGGAAGAAGGUCUUCGGAUUGUAAACUGUUGUCGCAAGGGAAGAAGACAGUGACGGUACCUUGUGAGAAAGUCACGGCUAACUACGUGCCAGCAGCCGCGGUAAUACGUAGGUGACAAGCGUUGUCCGGAUUUACUGGGUGUAAAGGGCGCGUAGGCGGACUGUCAAGUCAGUCGUGAAAUACCGGGGCUUAACCCCGGGGCUGCGAUUGAAACUGACAGCCUUGAGUAUCGGAGAGGAAAGCGGAAUUCCUAGUGUAGCGGUGAAAUGCGUAGAUAUUAGGAGGAACACCAGUGGCGAAGGCGGCUUUCUGGACGACAACUGACGCUGAGGCGCGAAAGUGUGGGGAGCAAACAGGAUUAGAUACCCUGGUAGUCCACACCGUAAACGAUGGAUACUAGGUGUAGGAGGUAUCGACCCCUUCUGUGCCGCAGUUAACACAAUAAGUAUCCCACCUGGGGAGUACGACCGCAAGGUUGAAACUCAAAGGAAUUGACGGGGGCCCGCACAAGCAGUGGAGUAUGUGGUUUAAUUCGAAGCAACGCGAAGAACCUUACCUGGGCUUGACAUCCCUGGAAUCGAGUAGAGAUACUUGAGUGCCUUCGGGAAUCAGGUGACAGGUGGUGCAUGGUUGUCGUCAGCUCGUGUCGUGAGAUGUUGGGUUAAGUCCCGCAACGAGCGCAACCCCUAUUGUCAGUUGCCAUCAUUAAGUUGGGCACUCUGGCGAGACUGCCGGUGACAAAUCGGAGGAAGGUGGGGACGACGUCAAAUCAUCAUGCCCCUUAUGCCCAGGGCUACACACGUACUACAAUGGCCGAUAACAAAGUGCAGCGAAACCGUGAGGUGGAGCGAAUCACAAAACUCGGUCUCAGUUCAGAUUGCAGGCUGCAACUCGCCUGCAUGAAGUUGGAAUUGCUAGUAAUCGCGGAUCAGAAUGCCGCGGUGAAUACGUUCCCG